GGCAAAACCAAGCAAGAAACAAACUUUACGGAAAAUGAAUUGGAGGUGCUACUAUCAGAGGUAGAAAAAAAAUCUUAUUUGGAACGUUGUCCUCUGGAAUUAAUAACAAAAGAAAAAAAAUUGAGUGGGAGAGUUUGGCUGAUGUGGUCAACGCAGUGGGAUCUGAAAAUCGCACUGUACCCGAGCUUGAAAAGAAAUGGUCUGACAUAAAGGUGGAAGUUAAGCCGAGAACUGCUGCGCACAGACAAAGUGUGGACAGAGCAGGCGGUGGUACAGGGGUCGAUGAACUUACACCUUUUGAGCAAAGAGUUGCCUCUAUUGUGGGCGACAGUUUACUCUCUGGAAUAGUAUCCGCUGCUGUGGGAGACUCGGAUUUACUACAUCAAUGCCCCGAAGAUCUUUUCCCAGCACUUUCCGGAGGCAAAAAAAUAAUGAACACUGCUUACAGCACACCAGGAAAGAAGACAAAUGUUUGGAAAUCAUUUGUUUUCAACAUCUAUUUGCUUGAUUCUGAAAUUGUGACACUUCCCCUUCACCUGCAGAUGAACUAAUAUUUGUCCAAGCAGGACUUGGAAAAAGAACCAAGACAAAGUUUAUUGGGCAUGAAUCAUUCAGAGAUAAAGGUUAUGGGACAUCAAAACAUGUUUAAUCAAAGUGAAAGAUAUUUAAUUCAGUGGUCACUGGGACAUUUAGAUCCAACAACAACCACUGAAUAUUACAAUUCAUAUGCCCAGAUCAAGAAUGGUAAAGCAUCUGGGAAGACAGUGUGGUAUAUUGUUCCUUCACAAGAAAAACUUGCCCUCAGUACUCUCCCUGCAGAUGCCAGAGAUUAAAUAAUGAAAACAAUGCCCAAGGCAACAUGUCAGAUGUGCCAUUGCAGGUGCUGCCUCUCCACAUCCAGAGUUACAAAGACCCAGAAAACUCAAAGAAUAAAUCAGCUUUAUUUGAAGAGGUAAUAGAUUAAUGUUAUUCAUCAGCUGAGAUGUGCUCUUUCUACCUCUCUCCAUGUUUUCAGAAAUAGAUGAGCAGCAUAACAAGUUUUUCUUGGACGAGUAUAUGACCAAUUUACUAGUCCAAAGCACAAGCACAUAAAAUUGCCUAAUGUUUAGCCCUGAAAUGUAUCCAAAAAUUAUGCUUCACUGAAUCAGACAGAAAUUCAGUUCAUCUCAGAAAAACAGUGCAUGAUACAACCUGAAACAUGUCAAUUUGAAGCAAGGUUGCUAAAAAAAAACGUCAGUUUUAUCAUAGCAUGUAUCAAAGAAUAUGGACAACUGUUUCCAAGUCUGUGUUUCACUGAAAAACGUUCUUGAAAGGGAGCUCAAGCAGUGGCAGAUACAAAAGAAAAGGAAUCCCAUUAACCAACUAAAGGUUACAUUUAUCAGUGAGGCUGGAGUCAACUCUGGUGAGCUGCCCAAACAGUGACCUUGACAAUGGUCAUUUCUGAUCUGUGAUGUUCUACUAUGAUUAUUUCAAGUGAAUUUGUAAUGGACAUUGAGAUGGUUCAUUACAUUACUAAUAAUAGAACAUCUGGAGAAAACAUUGCAGUCAGUUUAGCUCAAGGUGGAGCUCUUGUAUCUCACCACUGGACAAACUGAUGUACUCAAGAUAUCCAAGGAUGAUGUAGAUGACAUUGAGUUCUGUCUGCUGAUUUCAAGGAUAAAUAAAGUUAAUGGAUUCUUUGGCGUGAAA